CCCUUUGGUUGGGAAUAACCGCGGGAAACUGCGGCUAAUACCGAAUAAGCCCUACGGGGGAAAGAUUUAUCGCCGAAGGAUGGGCCCGCGCCGGAUUAGCCUGUUGGUAGGGUAACGGCCUACCAAGGCUACGAUCUGUAGCUGGUCUGAGAGGAUGGUCAGCCACACUGGGACUGAGACACGGCCCAGACUCCUACGGGAGGCAGCAGUGGGGAAUAUUGGACAAUGGGCGCAAGCCUGAUCCAGCCAUGCCGCGUGAGUGAAGAAGGCCCUAGGGUUGUAAAGCUCUUUCACCGGGGAAGAUAAUGACGGUACCCGGAAAAGAAGCCCCGGCUAACUCCGUGCCAGCAGCCGCGGUAAUACGGAGGGGGCUAGCGUUGUUCGGAAUUACUGGGCGUAAAGCGCACGUAGGCGGCGUGUAUAGUUAGGGGUGAAAGGCCUGGGCUCAACCUGGGAACUGCCUCUAAUACUGACACGCUAGAAUUCGGGAGAGGGUAGCGGAAUUCCAAGUGUAGAGGUGAAAUUCGUAGAUAUUUGGAAGAACACCGGUGGCGAAGGCGGCUACCUGGACCGAUAUUGA
rnacentral:rRNA from 1 species